rnacentral:rRNA from 1 species
UACGUAGGAGACAAGCGUUGUCCGGAAUUACUGGGUGUAAAGCGCGUGUAGGUGGUAGGCCAAGUCUGCUGUGAAAUCGCCCGGCUUAACUGGGCGCGGUCGGUGGAAACUGGUCAACUGGAGGACGGUAGAGGCGAGUGGAAUUCCCGGUGUAGUGGUGAAAUGCGUAGAGAUCGGGAGGAACACCAGUGGCGAAGGCGGCUCGCUGGGCCGGUCCUGACGCUGAGGCGCGAAAGCGUGGGGAGCAAACAGG